CCGAGCGAGGGUCUCCGGGCCCGACCUCCAACCCAUUGUUGACCAACACCUGUUGCCUCGGGGGGCGACUCGGCCUCCGCGCCGGCCCCCGGUGGACCACUUUAACGCUGUUUCUGUACGUCGGAGUACUUGAUGAAUCAAUCA
rnacentral:misc_RNA from 1 species